rnacentral:rRNA from 1 species
UACGAGGGGAGCAAGCGUUGUUCGGAUUUACUGGGCGUAAAGGGCGCGUAGGCGGCGCGACAAGUCACUUGUGAAAUCUCCGGGCUUAACUCGGAACGGUCAAGUGAUACUGUCGUGCUAGAGUACAGAAGGGGCAACUGGAAUUCUCGGUGUAGCGGUGAAAUGCGUAGAUAUCGAGAGGAACACCUGCGGCGAAGGCGGGUUGCUGGGCUGAUACUGACGCUGAGGCGCGAAAGCCAGGGGAGCGAACGGG